rnacentral:rRNA from 1 species
GAUAAACGCUGGCGGCGUGCCUAACACAUGCAAGUCGAACGAUCCCGCAAGGGAGAGUGGCGGAAGGGUGAGUAACACGUGGGAAUCUACCUCCUCGCAGGGAACAACCUCUCGAAAGAGAGGCUAAUACCCAAAAGGGUCAGAAAUGAUCAGAGUCGAAAGGCGUGAGGAGAGGAGCCCGCGGCCCAUCAGCUAGUUGGUGAGGUAAUGGCUUACCAAGGCUACGACGGGUAGGGGAUCUGAGAGGAUGUCCCCCACACUGGAACUGAAACACGGUCCAGACGCCUACGGGUGGCAGCAGUGAGGAAUAUUGGACAAUGGGCGAAAGCCCGAUCCAGCAACGCCGCGUGGAGGAUGAAGGCCUUGGGUCGUAAACUUCUUUAGAGGGAGACGAGAAAGGACGGUAUCCCUAGAAUAAGCGACGGCAAACUACGUGCCAGCAGCCGCGGUAAU